rnacentral:tRNA from 5 species
CAAAUCCGGGUGUCGCCU